AUACAAGCACGUGCAAGAAACCCUUGCAGAUCGACCAAACUUCAGCGCUUCAUCUUGUAUUUGUGUGGCAAGCUCUCGCGUUGGAGAUAAAACCACCACUGUCGGGCCAUUUUGAGGAUUGUUGCGCCGCCGUUUAAGGUGGACAAAUGCAGGAAUUAGAUAGCCCAAUGUUUUGCCAGAACCUGUCUUGGCAAUGGCCACUAUAUCCCUAUUUUGCAAUGCUAUGGGCCAUGUUUGUGCCUGAAUGGGAGUGGGUGAAGUGAAUCCCGCAAACUGAAUCUCUCUUAGUAUUUCUGGCGGGAACCCAGUAUCUUCAAAUGUCAUGAAUGGAGCAGGGACAUCACCACCUGUUGCAGUUACUUCAUGCUUCUGAAGGUAAACCUCAACGGAUGAUGGAUGCAUCGAUCCUGGAGGUCCAGUGAGUGCUCCAGGUGGCCGCAUGAGGCUAGAAUUUGAAAAUGGAGGUCCACCAGCUGCUUGACCAUAGAUAUUUUGCAUCGGAGGACCACCCAUGCUAUUGAACCCACUAGGAAGAGUUGGUACUGGAUUUUGAAGCGGAGGAUCACCCAUUCUCAUUUCAUGCUGAUUUCUUGCUACAGGUAUAGCUGCAAGCUUGGGUUGCUGAGGCGGAGGCCUAAUUCGACUAUCCAUAUUACUGUUGUAAUAAUAGUCAUUUCCUCCUCUUCCGGGUGUGUUUUCCUCAUAACCCUUUGAUCCAACUGGGGGUAUAUCAAGCUCAUGACCAUGUGCCGUACUUGAGCCCAUCUGACCGGGAAAGCGAGGACCAGGCGGCCUCUGACCUGAAUCAUUUGUAUUUUGCUGCCAUUGACCCAAAGAUGAUGGUUGUUGGACAUUUACAGAAGAACCGCCAAACUGCAAAGCUUGAGAAGGCUGAGCAGACAUCUGAGGUCUGAUAACAGAACCAGUCCCCACUUGCGGAUUCUGAGCAGAUGAUGCACCAGUUUGCUGAACUUGUUGUGGCGAAAACCUAACUUGUUUACCUUGGGGGAAAUCAACAUCUUCCCUUUGCUGAAAUCCCACCUUAUGCUCUUGUUGAUGGGAAAACUGUUGAUUUUGCGGAACGUGCUGAUUUUGCUGCUGUGGAAUUAGCUGUCCCUGUGGAGGCAAAUUAUGUGGAUACGCAACAUGCUGUGCCUGCUGAUGAGAAAAUUGAUAACCAUGUGGUUGUCCCAUUUGUACACUUGGAAAUGCUUGUGCUUGGGAGCCUAGUUGUUGUGGCAUCAUUUGUUGUGCUGCAGGUUGAGAAACAUGUGGCCCUGGCUGAUUAGGAGUUUGUCCCAUUUGCGAUGGCAUCUGAUGAACAGGUUGCUGGAUCAUUUGAGACCGAAGUUGUGGCAUAAAGGACACCUGUUGCAUGGCAGGACCAGCUGGUGAUCCUUGUUGCUGCCCUGCUGAAACACCUUGUGAUCCAUGUGGUACCUGUUGAGCUACUUGUGGAUGUUGUGACAUGUGUGUCAUUUGGCCUUGUUGAGCAAACGCCUGUUGGUUCUGUUGACCUUGACUAUCAUAUUGUUGCACUGUGCUAGCUCCUGGUAUAGGAGCCAACUUAGGAGCAGAAGCUUCCGGAGGUGGACCAGGCGGCAGUGGAGGUGGU
rnacentral:misc_RNA from 1 species